GACGAACCAUGCAAACGUUAUUCGGAUUCACUGGGCUUAAAGCGUGCGUAGGCGGUCUUGUUAGUCAGGUGUGAAAGCCCUCAGCCUAACUGAGGAAUUGCGCUUGAUACUGCAUGACUAGAGAAUGAUAGAGGUGGGUGGAACUGAUGGUGGAGCGGUGAAAUGCGUUGAUAUCAUCAGGAACACCAGUGGCGAAGGCGACCCACUGGGUCAUUUCUGACGCUGAGGUACGAAAGCUAGGGUAGCGAACGGGA
rnacentral:rRNA from 1 species